rnacentral:lncRNA from 1 species
GGAAACCACCUAUAUAUAUAUACACACACACAAGAUGCACUCAUCGGGAGGACGAAGGAACAACAAUCACCGAGACGAUGCCAACAAGACGUCGCUUCCUCCCUGUCCUGUUGCUCGCGAUCCAGCUGAUCCUACUUCUCACCGGUGGCAUCCUCGUCCAAGGAGGAUCAAGUGAACCGUCUGGUUGUAAGUAUCCUUGCCGUCCAUCAGGUUUAAUUUCAUUGUUAAUUAAAUUUCGCGACAUAGUAUUGGCUUCGUGUAACCUCUGCAACUAAUUAAUAGGAUAGGUAUAUAGCUACGUGAGUAUGAUCUCUCUUAAUAGGACUUAAAUUCUCACCAGUAAAGGAUGCUACAAAGUACAAACUGUCCAUUUAGAAUACAAGGCUACAAUCGGUCUUUGGCACCUUAUCUUUCUUUUUUUUUUAAAAAAAAAUAGAAUGGUUUCCAGCCUAUGCGACAGCACACAGCAUAUUAUUACAGCAAAUUGGGCUUCAAAGCUAAUCGCCGACAUAGAAAUAAAAGUUCACCAAAUUUAAGGAAAAAUUAUAAGUCAAGUCUAUUAUUGCUUUUCCAUUCAUUCUUGGCUAAGAUAUCCUAGGGGAUGACUUCCGGCGUCUUGUUCGCCGUCUGAAUCGAUUUCCUUUUAUCUUCACACUGCAACAGUGACCAGAACCGUAGCCAAUAAUGAUUGGAAUGGUAGUGCCUAAUUUUCCAAAACGAGAACGUAACUAAUUAUUUAUCGGCCACUUGACAUAAACAAUCCGAUUUCUGAUCAACAAGAUCUGAGCUUGCAAUCGUAGCAUCAUGUCAUCUCUGUUUAUCAACCGUGGCUGCUCGGUUGAUCUCACCAUGAAGGCUAAACCUUGCCUAUGAAUUGAAUAAAAUAAGCAAAAAUAAGAAAGCAUGCAACAAAGAUUGCAGAUGAAUGAUUAAGCUCACGAAGUUGGAGUUUCACAAAUCAAUAACAGCGGCAAUAUUCAAGACAGAUUGAAUCUAAGCAAAAUACAACUAUCAUGGGCAGUGGCUACUAAAAAUAAGAGUUUAGGCUUAGUCAAGGAACUUUAGAUGCGCCCCUAAUGGACUCCAAUAUGAUACACGGCACAACGGUCCAAAAUAAAGUGGUGCAUCACCGUGACAACUUCUGUACAUCCACUUCUUUUGACGACUCCUGACUCGGAUCUGAUAAUAAUAUGGGACCGGUGAAUUGGAAAGACUAUCUGCUUAAAUUUACGUAUAUAUGAACUGAGUCUGUAUGUGUGGGGUGACCAUUUUAGUACAUGCUGCUUAUGGACUCGAGGUUGACUCGAAUUCAAAAUAUUGCGGGCCUGCGACUUAGCUUUGACGCUCAGGCCGGUCUCCUCCUCCUCUAUGCCUCUCAAGGUCCGAUCCAUACAAUAGUAAUGCUAAUAGGGCGUCCGAUGCUCCCAUCCUCCAGUCAGACAGUCUCAUCCACCAUCCAAAACAGCCGCAGCAUCCUACGGCUAAAAUGAGCCGUGCCACGUUAUCCGCACGCCGCCUCCUUCUAGAGCACGUUAUCCGCACGCCACGUUAUCUUUCUUUUCCAAACUGGAAGCGGAGGACGCCAGCUUGAAGGCGCACCGGCUCCUGUGGGGGCGACAGCAGGCAGUCCCCCAGGAGCGAGUCGAGCAGCGCCUGCGUGGAGGCGAGCACCAGCGGCUUCCUCCGCUGCCGCCUCUCCACCCUGGCUACUGCUGGCAUGCCGCGGCCGCGACGGGCGACAGAUGGUGGAAGCAGGAGAGAGAGAGAGAGACCGCUUGACUUGAAAACCUGAACAAACAGACGUUGGACGGUUGAAGUCUCCAAGAAAGAUGGAGUCUCCAGGAAGAUGAAGGUAGCUGCUCAGCCAAAUUUAGACUUUGAGAGAUGAAGCCGUGCUGCCCGGGAGGAAUUAGAAGGCCAAACCUGACCUUUCUCGCUGACAUGAGCAAGUUGGAGCCACAUGAUUUAUGGUGGAUGAGAAAGCAGAUCCGAGGAGAUGCCUAAAUCUGCUAGGUCUGUGGAGGAUAGUGCCGGAUGUUGUAAUUGACGUUUUUGGAUGUUGCGAUAAAUGAAUAUUGAUGUUGCGACGGGUGAUUAGAUCCCCCCCUCCGGAUGUUACAGUAGGUGACGACUUGUAAUGUUACAAAGCUCUUUCUGAUGUCGUGCUUCUUUUUUUGUUGUUGGUUGCUGCAUCAAGGAUGCUACUUUCAAGUGGAAUUUUGUUCUCUUGGAAUUGGUCGACAACGAACAAUCCUUUUUAUAUUUCUUUAUGUGCAAACUAUGUCUGACCAUGUUAUCAAAGAAUUUUUUUAUUGUUGCAAAUGGUAUUUAUGGAUGUUGCAAAAGAUCUUAACUGUUGAAGAAAAUUUUGAAAGUUGCAUGCAACCUGAUAUGCAUGUUGUAGUGGGAAUUUCUAUUCUAAAAUCGGAUGACAUGAGUUAUUUUUACACAUGUUAUUUUUAUGUUGCAAACGGUGAUUUCUAAUGUUGCGACGGAGCGUCUGAUGUGAAAUUUCACACCGGACGUGCGGGCGCUAAUAACUAUGGCAAUAAUAUCAUUACGUAGUAUACCAUUCAUGCAACUAGCAAAAGUACAUAGGAAGAUCUCACCCGUUAAUUUAACUGUCGUGUACAUGCUAUAGUGAUGGAUCCUUGUAUAUCCAUGUGAGGAGUGUUGCGUGUAUCUAAAUAAGUGAUAUCCUCAUCAAAUAAGCCCCCUCAUCACUACAAGACAAACACCUAUAUAGCAAAAUAUAUCUUGCAACGGAAUUUACAUCCGUCGGCGGAGCCUGCCCAUUAGACAUUCAUACUUUCUUUCGGACACUGUUACAUGUUGGAACAUGGACCGAUAUGGUGUUUUCAGCAAGUUUACUACGGGACAGCUGUGUGCACGAAUCAGUGUGGAAAAAAAAAUUCCAUGGUAGAGUUGGAUGAUCCAAGCAGUAGUCGGCGUGACCUAAACGUGUACUUCUUGCCAUAGAUAAAGUUAGAAGAAAUAUCUCCGUCAAACAGUUUUAGGGAUUACUACUACUAUUCUAGAAUAUGUAAGACGAUGUCUUAAUUUUGUUCUACAUAAAAAUGCAUCAACAUCUAUAAUACAAAAUUAGCCUCAUUAAAUUCACCACGAAAUAUGUCUCGGGAGUGCAUGCAUUUAUUUGGUAUUAUAGAUGUUAAUAUAUUUUUUAUAAUAUUUGCCAAAAUAUCUAACUUUGACCACAACAAAACUAAAUAUCUUAUGUUUUGAAACGGAGAGAGUACAGAGGAGAAAGGACACACUUUGGACUUGGGGGGGGGGGCGCUCAACCUAAGACAUUUUCUUGUGGAGCGUGUCGAAAAUCCUCUAGAAAUGUGUGUCAAUUUGGUAAGAAUUUGCGGUAAAUCUGUAUGUUGUUCUUGAUUAUCUCCUCCCUAUUUCAUAAUAUAAAACUUUGUAACAAUGCAUGCGUUGGAGGAUGUGAAAAACCAGAACCAUUCUUCCGUUAUUAAAAAACGCAAGUACUGAAAAAUAUAUCAUGAUAUCAUCAAAGUAGUUUUAUUAAAUCCAUCGUGAUAUGUGUUGAUAAUGCAAUCAGCAAAGUAGUUUUAUUAAAUCCAUCGUGAUAUGUGUUGAUAAUGCAUUUAUUUGAUAUUGUAGAUGUUUAUACACAUGGCAUAGUUAUACAAGUUUGGCUUAUGAGAAGGCUAAAUCAGCAUCUUAACUGUUUGAUGUACUAUUGAUUAUUCAUAAUGAUUGAAGACUGUCUAAGCACACCUUUGACAAAAAAAAAUCAUUUAACAUUUUGCCUUUGGAUCCACGCAGGCAGUUACGAUAUUGCUACCAGAGCACUUGUUUGCCCUGGAGUAGGUGGAGGCCAUCAUUGUACUCGUCCUCCAUGUCGGUUAUUUGGUUCCCCAUGAAAUGAAUGCUGUGGUGCUCUGGGGAUUGAUGUGCUUCGAAUUACUGCACAAGAUUUGGAAAAAAAUGAAAGCUUCUGUUUUGUUACUCCUUUUUGCUGAUCCAUAAAUGAAAAUAUGUUGCAAAAAAUGGUGACUUUAGAACAAAAUGUUUCGCCGUUUUUGUACAUUUGUUUUGUUGCCAGCAUCCAUUGUAUAUCCGUAUCAUGAUACUACAGAAGGUAUACAAGUGCCCUUAAUAAAUAAAUAUCAUAGCAUGAUCAUCAAGAAAA